rnacentral:lncRNA from 1 species
AACUGAAUAAAUACUUUUCUUCUAUAAAAAUAUAGAGAGACACUCUCGUUGAAUAUUGUUUUAGUAACGCAUGGGUAAGAUUUUCUAAACGAAGUGUGGCAACCCCAAUUACUUAAUAAAAAAUAAAAAUGUUAUAAAAUGAAAAUGGCGUCAUUUCACCAAAUAUCUUAAAACACAAAUUCACGAAUAAUAAAAUAAAUGUUUGCCACGGCCUGUUAAUAUUUAUGAAGACCUCUUCAUGGAUUGGAUUUAAACAACCUGCUGUGUAAUAUCCUCGCCAUUCUUGAUGUUGAGAAGAUCUAUAAGUCUUUUACGUUUCAUCUGAGUGUUGUGGUUUUUCAUUAUGUUAAAAAUAAGACUUUGUUAGUUCAAGUGUCUCUAUAACUAUGAAGAAGAACAAAAAAAAUGCUUUGAGUGUGGUUCUUCGCCUGCCGAUGAUCCAGAGAAGACCCUACAGAGAUUACCGAAACUUGAUUCUACAAAUUUAGUCUCCGCAAUCCUGCUUCUUCACAUGAAUUUUACCCGCAUGACGACGGUUUUUAAUAUAAAAAAUAUUUACACAAUGUCUCAAAAAACAAUCAAAGCUUUGAAAAAUAAACAAUGUUCGCAGAAGUUCAGUACCAACAAACUCACAAAAAAUGAGCCCAAAUUUAGCAUUACUUGCAAGCCAGACUAAGAAAUUUCAAGAAGAUAAUUUAAAAGAAGACAAUAGAAUAAACAGAUAAACAGAUGGAAACCAGGCAAUAGGUGUAGCAAAAUAGAAGAUGAAGGUCUAGCUGUGCCAGUGC